rnacentral:rRNA from 1 species
AUUGAACGCUGGCGGCAUGCUUUACACAUGCAAGUCGAACGGGGUGAAGGGGGCAACUCUUCAUUCAGUGGCGAACGGGUGAGUAAUGCAUCGGAACGUACCUCGUAGUGGGGGAUAACUCGGCGAAAGCCGUGCUAAUACCGCAUAUGCUCUACGGAGGAAAGCAGGGGACCUGAAAGGGCCUUGUGCUAUGGGAGCGGCCGAUGUCCGAUUAGCUAGUUGGUGGGGAAUGGCCUACCAAGGCGACGAUCGGUAGCUGGUCUGAGAGGAUGAUCAGCCACACUGGGACUGAGACACGGCCCAGACUCCUACGGGAGGCAGCAGUGGGGAAUUUUGGACAAUGGGGGCAACCCUGAUCCAGCCAUGCCGCGUGCGGGAAGAAGGCC